rnacentral:rRNA from 1 species
UACGUAGGGGGCAAGCGUUGUCCGGAAUCAUUGGGCGUAAAGAGCGUGUAGGCGGUUCGGUAAGUCCGCUGUAAAAGUCCAGGGCUCAACCCUGGAAAGCCGGUGGAAACUGUCGAACUAGAGUCCGGAAGAGGCGAGUGGAAUUCCUGGUGUAGCGGUGAAAUGCGCAGAUAUCAGGAGGAACACCAAUAGCGAAGGCAGCUCGCUGGGACGGUACUGACGCUGAGGCGCGAAAGCGUGGGGAGCGAACAGG